rnacentral:rRNA from 1 species
UACGAAGGUGGCAAGCGUUGUUCGGAAUUAUUGGGCGUAAAGGGCAGGUAGGUGGUCUUAAAAGUCUACUGUGAAAUCCCCGAGCUUAACUUGGGAAGUGCGGUAGAUACUCUAAGACUAGAGUGCUGGAGGGGUUCGUGGAAUUCCCGGUGUAGCGGUGAAAUGACGUAGAUAUCGGGAGGAACACCAGAGGCGAAGGCGGCGAACUUGACAGUAACUGACACUCAACUGCGAAAGCGGUGGGGAGCAAACAGGG